rnacentral:rRNA from 1 species
AGAGUUUGAUCAUGGCUCAGGACGAACGCUGGCGGCGUGCUAAUACAUGCAAGUCGAGCGAGCGGAACCAACAGAUUUACUUCGGUAAUGACGUUGGGAAAGCGAGCGGCGGAUGGGUGAGUAACACGUGGGGAACCUGCCCAUAAGUCUGGGAUACCAUUUGGAAACAGGUGCUAAUACCGGAUAAUAAAGCAGAUCGCAUGAUCAGCUUUUGAAAGGCGGCGUAAGCUGUCGCUAAGGGAUGGCCCCGCGGUGCAUUAGCUAGUUGGUAAGGUAACGGCUUACCAAGGCGACGAUGCAUAGCCGAGUUGAGAAACUGAUCGGCCACAUUGGGACUGAGACACGGCCCAAACUCCUACGGGAGGCAGCAGUAGGGAAUCUUCCACAAUGGACGCAAGUCUGAUGGAGCAACGCCGCGUGAGUGAAGAAGGUUUUCGGAUCGUAAAGCUCUGUUGUUGGUGAAGAAGGAUAGAGGUAGUAACUGGCCUUUAUUUGACGGUAAUCAACCAGAAAGUCACGGCUAACUACGUGCCAGCAGCCGCGGUAAUACGUAGGUGGCAAGCGUUGUCCGGAUUUAUUGGGCGUAAAGCGAGCGCAGGCGGAAAAAUAAGUCUAAUGUGAAAGCCCUCGGCUUAACCGAGGAACUGCAUCGGAAACUGUUUUUCUUGAGUGCAGAAGAGGAGAGUGGAACUCCAUGUGUAGCGGUGGAAUGCGUAGAUAUAUGGAAGAACACCAGUGGCGAAGGCGGCUCUCUGGUCUGCAACUGACGCUGAGGCUCGAAAGCAUGGGUAGCGAACAGGAUUAGAUACCCUGGUAGUCCAUGCCGUAAACGAUGAGUGCUAAGUGUUGGGAGGUUUCCGCCUCUCAGUGCUGCAGCUAACGCAUUAAGCACUCCGCCUGGGGAGUACGACCGCAAGGUUGAAACUCAAAGGAAUUGACGG